CCUACGGGAGGCAGCAGUGGGGAAUAUUGCGCAAUGGGCGAAAGCCUGACGCAGCGACGCCGCGUGAGGGAUGAAGGUCUUCGGAUCGUAACCUCUGUCAGGAGGGAAGAACGGUCACUGUGCUAAUCAGCAGUGAAUUGACGGUAACCGCAAAGGAAGCACCGGCUAACUCCGUGCCAGGAGCCGCGGGAAAACGGAGGGGGCGAGCGUUAAUCGGAAUUACCGGGCGUAAAGCGCUCGUAGGCGGUAUGUGAAGUAAAGGGGGAAAUCCCCGCGCUCAACGUGGGAACUGCCUUUGAAACUGGCAAACUGGAGUGUGUGAGAGGAUAGUGGAAUUCCAGGUGUAGGAGUGAAAUCCGUAGAUAUCUGGAGGAACAUCAGUGGCGAAGGCGACUAUCUGGCACAUAACUGACGCUGAGGAGCGAAAGCGUGGGUAGCAAACAGGAUUAGAUACCCGAGUAGUC
rnacentral:rRNA from 1 species